rnacentral:lncRNA from 1 species
CAGCAAACUUUGUUUUAGUAGCCCUUCAAGUGAUUGAUAGGUACUGAGGUUUGAGAACCACUGGCUUAAAGGAGGUAUCUUCUAAUGAACAGAUACUAAGCUCAAAUGGUCUUUGUCACAGUUUUAGUAGUCUCAAUUCUUGAGUACCCCGAGUAUAGUUAAUAAUUCUUUUAGUUUUAAUUUUCAGAGUGAGUAUAAUUCUACUAUAGCAUCAUUUACACUGUUGUAAAAGAUUUCCACUAAGUUGAAAUCUUCAGUUUUACUGAUUGGACAUUAAAUGAAUUGUUGAAUAAAAAUUAAACAGGGGUUUCCACUGUAGCCCAUUGGGUUGAGAACCUGACAUAGUGUCCGUGAGGAUGUGGGUUUGAUUCCUGGCCUUCCUCUGUGGGUUAAGGAUCCGGCGUUGCCACAAGCUGCAGCCUAGGUCACAGAUGUGACUUGGAUCCAGUGUUACCGUGGCUGUAGCAUAGGCCUGCAUCUGUAUUUCUGAUUUGACCCCUAGCUGAGAAACUUCAAUAUGCCACAGGUAUGGAAGUAAAAACAAAAAAUAAAUAAUAAAUAAAAAUAAAAAAAUAGAAUUAUAUUGAAUACAGAAUAUAGUUCUCUGAAUAUAUAUAUAUAUACAUAUAUAUAUACACACACACACAUUCUUUUAAUAUUAUUUUCCAUUAUGGCUUAUCAUAGAUUUUGAAUAUAGCAGAUAUAAGCUAUUAUAUAUAGAAUGGAUAAACAACAAGGUCCUACAGGUGCGGCCCGAAAAAGCAAAUAAAGUAAAAUAAAAUACUGUUAACAGAAAUGAGAAAUAAAAAUGCCUUUGAUGGCCUCAUUAGUAUAGUGGAUAUCACUGAGGAAAGGAUCCAUGAGUGUGAAGAUAUAUUUACAGAAACAUAUAAAAACUAAAAUAGAAGGGAAAGAGGAGAAUGAAAGAGAUGAAACAGAAUGUCUAAGAACUAUGAGAUGAGGAAAAGUGGAACACACAUAAUCGGUAUACUAGAGAAGAAAGAGAGGAACAGAAAAAAGUUUCAAGUAUAAUGGCAGAAUUUCCCCCCAGUUAAUGGCAAACACCAUACCAUAUCCAGGAAGCUGAGAGAAUACCUAACAGAAAAAUACCCAGAAAAUCUGCACCUAAUCAUGUUAUGUUCAGGAGUUCCCGUCGUGGCUCAGGGGUUAGCAAACCCAACUAGGAUCCAUGAGGAUGUGGGUUUGAUCCUUGGCCUCGCACAGUGGGUUAAGGAUCCGAUGUUGCCGUAAGCUGUGGUGUAGGUUGCAGAUGCUGCUUGGAUCCCAAGCUAGGGGUCGAAUCGGAGCUGUAGCCACCAGCCUACGCCAGAGCCACAGCAGUGAGGGAUCCAAGCCGCGUCUGCAACCUACACCACAGCUCACGGCAACGCCGGCUCCUUAACCCACUGAGCAAGGUCAGGGACCGAACCCGCAACCUCAUGGUUCCUAGUCAGAUUCGUUAACCACUGCGCCACGACAGGAACUCCUCAUCCAUAUUUUUUUUUAAUUGAGGAUGCCUUUAUUUUUAUUUUUUUUUUACAGAAUAAAAUACAUGUAUUUACAUACAAUUACAUUCACACAGAUUAUUACAACAUGGAUCUUAAGAAGCAGAUUAAGUGACUCCCACUGGAGAAGUGGAAUGGAAAAUAUGCUGAGACAAAUAGGAAAUUUAUUCUAUACUUUAUCCCAAUUUUAUGGCUUUCAUCUUUACUACUUAGUUUUAUCUAUUACAUUUCAAUUUUUCUUUAAAAAUUAGCAUUAUAUUAAAUUGUUAUAUUAUGCAACUAAAAUUUAUAAAGAAGAAAGCCUUAUAUACCAUUAAAUAUUUUAUAUAGCAUAGUAAAAAGAAUAACUUAACUGGUAAGCAUAACAAAAAUAAUACACCCUCUGAAAAUAAGUAAAAUAUAAAAUGCAUAAAUUGGUUAAAAAACAGUGUAACUAUAUAAAUAUGUCCUCACAAUUUGUUACAUCUUAUUGAUUCUUCAAUAUGGGCAUUACACCAUUCUAGGUGAUGUGAUAAACAAGACAUUAUAGACUUUACAUUGUACCAUGGAGAGAAUUGGUUAUUAAUAAUACCAUUGUAGAACUGUAUUAUUUAAUUGUACAGUCACAUUGUUUAAUUAUAAUUAUUGUAAAUUCUUUGAUGAAGAGGAAAUCAGAAUCAGAUCCAAGAAGUCUUCAGCAUUCCAAGAAUGAUGUCAAAUGACCCCCUUCAUGGUGCAUUAUGCACUUAUUUACUAUGAGAUAUAUUUCUUCUCCAGAGAUUCCUUGUUUGUGUAUCAAUUGUAGAUUUUUGAUUUGUAGUUACCCUGAAGUUUUGAUGUAAGAGUCUAUAUGUAUAUGAGAUUGUUUUAAGUUGUUGUUCUCUUAAUUGCAAGUUCAAUCUCCAGUGUCCCGCAUUUGUACCCACCUCUUCUCAUGAUUUCUGAUUUUGAUGGUAUAAUUGUGCAUGGAUGAUUUCGUAUCUUUACUGUAUAUAUACCUUUCCUGGUGAGCCUUGUCAUUUGUGGAAUUUUUGUUUCCUGUUGCUGUCUUUUCUUUUCUGCCUAUAGAAGUUCCUUCAGUAUUUAUUGUAAGGCUGGUUUAGUGUUGCUGAAUUCUCUCAGCUUUUACUUAUCUGUGAUGGUUUUGCUUUCUCCUUCAAAUCGUAAUAAGAACCUUGCCAGGUAGAGUAAUCUUGGUUGGAGGUUUUUUCCUUUCAUUACGUUAAGUAUAUCAUGCCNGUGUAUUCCUCCUUGGGUUUAUUUUAUAUGGUACUUGAGUGAGUGGUUCCUUUCCCAUGUUAGGGAAAUUUUUCGGCUAUUAUCUCUUGGAAUUUUUUUUCUGUCCCCUUCUCUCUCUCUUCUUCUGGCACUCCUGUUUUUAAUACGGAUGUUGGUGCAUUUAACAUUGUCCCAGAGUUCUCUGAGACUCUCUUCAUUUUUUUUCAAUCUUUUUUUCUCUUUUCUGUUCUGCAUCCGUAAUUUCUUAUAAUCUGUCCUCCACCUCGCUUAUUCAUUCUUCUGCCUCCUGUAUUCUGCUGUUAACUGCUUCUAGUGAGUUUUUUAUUUCAGUUAUUGUAUUUUGCAUCUCUUCUUGUUUAAGUUUUAUAUCUUGUAUCUCUUUGGUCAGUGUUUCCUGUAAGUUAUCCAUCUUUGCCUCCAGUUUAUUUCCAAUGCCUUGCAUCAUCUUCAGCAUGGACAAUCUAAAGUCUUUUUCCUGGAGGCUAAGAAAUCUCCUCAUUGCUUAGCUGAUUUUCUAGGGUUUUUCCUUUCUCCCUCAUCUGAGUUAUAGUUCUCUGUCUUUUCAUUUUUAUAGGUUUUUGGUGUGAUGACCUUUUUAUAGAUAACAGAGUUGUAGCCUCUCUUAUUUCUGGUGUCUGCCCCCCUUGUGGCUGAAGUCGGUAUGGGGGGCUUGCUGUAGGCUUCCUGAUGGAAGGGGCUGAUGCCUGCCCACUGGUAGGUGGAGCCGAUUCUAAUCCCUCUGGUGGGUGGGGCUUAGUCUCUGGGUGGGAUUAGGGGCUGCUGUGUGUCUGAGGCUCUUUAGGUAGCCUGUUUACUGAGGGGUGGGGCUGUGAUCCCACCUGGAUUGUUGUUUGUCCUGGGGCUUCUCAGCACUGACUGAUGGGUGGGGCCAGAUUUUCCCAAAAUGUCCACCUCCAGAGAAAGGCAACUACUGAACAUUCCCGAGAGCUUUGCCUUCAAUGUCCUUCUCUCACAACAAGCCACAUUCACCCCUGUUUUCCCAUGAUGUCCUCCAAGAACUGCAGUCAGGUUUGACCUAGGUUCCUGUGGAGAUCUGGCUCUGCCCUGGGACCUAAUGCAUGUGAAAGUCUGUGUGUGCCUUUUAAGAAUGGGGUCUCCAUUUCCCCCAGUCCUGUGGAGCUCCUGCACACAAGCCCCGCUGGCCUUCAAUGCCAGAUGCUCCAGGGGCUCUUUCUCCCAGUGACAGAUCCCAGCAUGUGAGGGUUUGAUGUGGGGCUCAGAACUCUCACUCCUGUGGGUGAGUCUCUGUGAGCCAGUUAGUUUUCAGUCUGUGGAGCUUCCCACCCGGGAGGUAUGGGUUGUUUAUGUAACAAAAUCACCCCUCCUACCUGUGGAUGUGGCCUCCUCUUUUUCUUCUGGAGUAGGGUAUGGGUUUCCGGUCCAUUUGGGUGGAGAUUGCUCAGUCUUUAGUUGUGAAUUUUGUUGUUUUUAGGAGAGAAGUUGAGCUCCAGACCUUCUAUUCCGCCAUCUUAAUCCCGUCUCCUCUUUUAUUGUUUUAAAUGUACUAAAAAGCUUUCUUCCAUUUGGACACUUACUGCAAAAAAAAAAAAAAAAAAAAAAAAAAA